CGGUGGCCUCAUCCCCGGCGGCGUCUGUCCCAUCGGCGCGCAGCCCCAGGACCUCGCAAAGCGCGCGAAAAUCGGCGCGGGGCAGGCGGCCGGCGCCGCGGCAGUCCAGGUGGUGGAAGACCUCCUGCAGUAUCCCAGAAUCAACAUUUUGUCCAUUUUGCAAAUUCCUGCUUAUUCCUGAACACUCUGCCCAAGGGAUGCCUCUGCCAGGAAGAAGGUAUUUUCAGAAAGGUGGACUGAAAGUCUCAUUCCAUUCCUGUUCAGAGUACGCUGGCUUGGAAACCUGAUGGAUGCAGGUGCCCAGGGCUGCAGGGUCGUCCUGCUGUCCCCACUCCUGAGAAGCAAGCAGCCUGGGUCUUGCUGAGUAGCCUGGACCUUUUGUGGAAAUGGAAUCAUACAAUAUGUGACUGACUGUUUUUUGAAAACAUUAACAGCAGUGUUUUCGAGGUCAGCCAUGGUGUAGCCUGUGUUGGUAUGUCAUUCCUUUUUAUGGCUGAAUAAUAGUCCAUUGUAUGGCUAGACUGCAUUUUGUUUAUCCAGUCAUCUGCUGAUGGACAUUUGAGUUGUUUUCACUUUUUGGCUGCUCUGAAUCACGCUGCCAUGAACGUUCGUGCACAAGUUUUUGUGUGUUCACAUAUUUGCAUAGGAAUGCCGAUGUUCCCCAUGCGGGACCCUGCUCUUCUGUCCCAUGUUCCCGGGGCCUGCAGCCUGCUCAGUGAAUCCCUGCCAUCGGCUUCUCCUCCCAUGGCCGUGCCCGCAUCAGGUCUGUCGGCUGCGCAGCGCUCCACCUCCAGAAAUUACUGAGCCCUGCUCCCUCCUCCACUGGUACCACUUCGUGCUCAGAUCCAGCCCUGCAGGCCUGUGUCACUGCAGCAGCCUCCUCCCAAGAACUGGCCUUGAACUCCUUCAGUCUGUUCUCUGCAGCUGGAGGAUCCCUUUGUGAUUUCUCCCACAGGGACUGAAGGCAAAGUCCUCGCCAUGCCCCAAGGCCCGGCCUGCCUGGCACCCUAAUCCUCCCCUCUCCCCGGAAACCCCUCUCCAACCUCGCCUGUUGCCACCGCCUCCCUCCUGACCGCUUCCUGACCUCCCCUCAGCCCGCUGGCGUCUGCUUAUCCCAGAGGUUUCCAGCCCACGGCCUCACCUCCCAGUCCUUUGCUCUGUUGUCACCGCCUCAGUGAGACAUUUGCUGACCCUGCAAGCACUCCAUACUUGUAACAGACCCUGUCUCGCCUAUGUGUGUGGUCCAUCUGCCUGUGUUAACCUGUCGCCUGAGGGUAAGGCUGUUUGUUCACCUGGAAUGGUGUCUGGCACUCUAUAGAAAGAUCUCCACUUCCAUCUCAGCUGCCUCUUCAUGGAUAGUGUGAUGUGUUGCUUUCCACAUGUUUUCUUUGCCUACAAAUGGUGUGUAUUUUUGCACUGGUAUUUUUAAAAAGCAGCCAUUAUGCUACAUUACCAUUUAUUUGUGGGCCCCUCACAGGACUGGAACUUUGUGAGGCCAGGGACCUGUGCCCCCCAGUGCCCAGUGUGGGGCUUGGCAUCAAGUGGCACUAACAGCGUUAGCUUGUCUGGACACACAUUUGUAGAAGUGGAUUUACUGCAUCAAGAGGGAGAAUGACCUCUGGUCGGCAUGGGGGGGUUGAGUGUCCUUUGGCCCGGUGAUGUUGGAGUCCACAAAGCCUCUAUAUUUUGGUAGUGGACUGGAUCCCCAGCUGGGCCGUGGAAGCUUCUGGGCCUGGAGCCGCACAGCUGGGCGGUUUGUUGUGUACAUUUAGAAUAAGACUCUGGAACUUGGAUCUGGGCUUUCCAGUUGUGUCUCUGCAGAUGAAUCUGAUUUAAUUUCAAAUUAGUGCGGAGAGCGGGCAACCCAGGGAGGGCUGCAAUGCCCCCCUGCCCUGCCUCUGCCUCCGGUGAGUGCUUUGCAGAGGGAACCUUUUCAACAGUAACUUUCCUGGGCCAGUCAAUACUGAAAAGAAAGCCUUUCAGUGUUUUGCCAUGGAGCCCGUUGCCCGGGCCUCACCCCCUGCAGCUCGGCAGGGGCCAGGGAAGUCAGGGGUUAUAAUGGUGCGCUGUCAGGCCUGUCUGUCUGCGGGGCAGGGUGUUACCAGGCGCCUGUGAAAUAAUUCCAGUUGGACCCACAAGGUUUUGUUUAAGGCUGGAAGUGAGCAAACUCCGAGCUCUCCUGCUGCCUUUGUCUGGGCUGGGGGAUGGGUGUAUGUCUGCAGGGGAGAGAGCAGAGGUCCCAGCAAAGAAAUGAUUUUCCAAAGUCAGUUCAGCAUUACGUGAGUCAUUUCAAAUAGCAUAUUGUUCCAAGUGUCUUUAAACAGCCCAGAAAAAUCCUAAAAAGCAAAAAUCACCCACUAUCGUGCCGACAAGGGGGGGCAUGGGGUGCUUCUGAUGUAUUUACUUCUGAUGUGGUUUUACAUGCAUUUGAGCCCAAAAGAACUUCUUGGGGGUGAAGGAAAUAUUCUGUAUCUUCAUUGGGAUGGUGGUUACAUGACUGUACACAGCUGUCAAAACACUUAAAAGGGUGAAUUUUACAGGAUGUGAGUUGUACCCCAUUAAACUUGACAUAAAGAAACACAUUUGAAAGGCUGCUGGUGGGAUCUUCACACAUCAACCACACUUCCUGAAUAGCUUCACCAUCAUUAGCCUCCCUGUGCCAAAGUUCCUGAGUGGGCUCCUGCUCCCUCUUAGGACUCAGCUGGGAGCGGCUUCUUUGCACCCGCAGAAGCACAGUAAGGUGGUUUGCAGUUUUUCUCUAUUAAAACAACACUGAAUGGUUGGCUCUA